CUGCAGUGAUGAAUUUUGAUUUUUCAACUGAAUCACUGAAUGUUGAUUCGAAUCGAGCUUUUUAAAACUGAGCAGA